rnacentral:rRNA from 1 species
UGUAUAAUGGGUCAGCGACUUAUAUUCUGUAGCAAGGUUAACCGAAUAGGGGAGCCGAAGGGAAACCGAGUCUUAACUGGGCGUUAAGUUGCAGGGUAUAGACCCGAAACCCGGUGAUCUAGCCAUGGGCAGGUUGAAGGUUGGGUAACACUAACUGGAGGACCGAACCGACUAAUGUUGAAAAAUUAGCGGAUGACUUGUGGCUGGGGGUGAAAGGCCAAUCAAACCGGGAGAUAGCUGGUUCUCCCCGAAAGCUAUUUAGGUAGCGCCUCGUGAAUUCAUCUCCGGGGGUAGAGCACUGUUUCGGCAAGGGGGUCAUCCCGACUUACCAACCCGAUGCAAACUGCGAAUACCGGAGAAUGUUAUCACGGGAGACACACGGCGGGUGCUAACGUCCGUCGUGAAGAGGGAAACAACCCAGACCGCCAGCUAAGGUCCCAAAGUCAUGGUUAAGUGGGAAACGAUGUGGGAAGGCCCAGACAGCCAGGAUGUUGGCUUAGAAGCAGCCAUCAUUUAAAGAAAGCGUAAUAGCUCACUGGUCGAGUCGGCCUGCGCGGAAGAUGUAACGGGGCUAAACCAUGCACCGAAGCUGCGGCAGCGACACUGUGUGUUGUUGGGUAGGGGAGCGUUCUGUAAGCCUGUGAAGGUGUACUGUGAGGUAUGCUGGAGGUAUCAGAAGUGCGAAUGCUGACAUAAGUAACGAUAAAGCGGGUGAAAAGCCCGCUCGCCGGAAGACCAAGGGUUCCUGUCCAACGUUAAUCGGGGCAGGGUGAGUCGACCCCUAAGGCGAGGCCGAAAGGCGUAGUCGAUGGGAAACAGGUUAAUAUUCCUGUACUUGGUGUUACUGCGAAGGGGGGACGGAGAAGGCUAUGUUGGCCGGGCGACGGUUGUCCCGGUUUAAGCGUGUAGGCUGGUUUUCCAGGCAAAUCCGGAAAAUCAAGGCUGAGGCGUGAUGACGAGGCACUACGGUGCUGAAGCAACAAAUGCCCUGCUUCCAGGAAAAGCCUCUAAGCAUCAGGUAACAUCAAAUCGUACCCCAAACCGACACAGGUGGUCAGGUAGAGAAUACCAAGGCGCUUGAGAGAACUCGGGUGAAGGAACUAGGCAAAAUGGUGCCGUAACUUCGGGAGAAGGCACGCUGAUAUGUAGGUGAAGCGACUUGCUCGUGGAGCUGAAAUCAGUCGAAGAUACCAGCUGGCUGCAACUGUUUAUUAAAAACACAGCACUGUGCAAACACGAAAGUGGACGUAUACGGUGUGACGCCUGCCCGGUGCCGGA